rnacentral:rRNA from 1 species
GACAGAGGUCCCGAGCGUUAGGCGGAAUCACUGGGCUUAAAGCGUGUGUAGGCGGACUUCUAAGUACCUUGUGAAAAUCCCACGGCUUAACCGUGGAACUGCUUGGUAUACUGGUUGUCUUGGGCCAUCUAGGGGCUACUGGAACAAACGGUGGAGCGGUGAAAUGCGUAGAUAUCGUUUGGAACGCCAAUGGUGAAAACAAGUAGCUGGGGAUGUGCCGACGCUGAGACACGAAAGCCAGGGGAGCAAACGGG